rnacentral:lncRNA from 1 species
AGUCUGUCAACUUGGGCGUGCAAACAACCAUCCUAAGAGCCUUUCUUGCUCUGAUAGGGAGAAAAAAAGGCUUCGGGGGCUACCAGAGGAGAAGAGGCCAUCACCUCGGACCAGCAGCAACACACUCUGAAGUAGGUCUCAGAAGACAAAAAGCUGAAAUCAACUCAUGCUUCCUGCUACACAGAAUCCACUGAGAGGAAAAGGAAACUUCACCGAAACUUCAGAAAGCUACAGAAAUGACAUCCAUUUUCACAAUCCCAGAAGGAAAGAUGCAUCUGAAGGGAAUAAAAACAGAGCAAUGGAAGAGUAUUUGUUAAAAUAAAUGGCUUUGACAGGG